GCCAAUAAAUCCGUUUCCUCCUUCUCUCCUAUACUAUCUUUGCGUCUCCUUCCCUUUCCCUUAUACUACGUUUGCGUCUCCUUCCUUCUCCCCUAACUAUGGUUGUGUCCUCUUCCCUCCUCCUUAUACUACGUUUGCGACUUGGGUAAUGUGUCCUCUCUGCCAGUGGACUCUCCCCUACAAUGCCUCUUGGAUAACCUCAAAACCCUCUCCUUGACACCAGACAUCACCCCAAAAUUGAUCAAAUAUAGCCUGGCCUGGCCCACUUAUUCAUUAGACAACCAAAGCAGAUGGUCCCCUUUUGGGUCCCUGGAUCCCUCCAUUCUGAGGGAUCUCUACAAUUACUGUGAGCAUUUGAAAAAAUGGGUAGAGAUCACUUUCUUCUUGCUCCGACCCAAUCCUGCUCUCUGCACCUCUUGCAAACCUCUACAAAUUCUUCCAGCUUGCAAACCAACUCCCCCAACCACGAUCCCCAACUUUCUCCUCCUCCAGACUCAUCCAUUACUUUUGACCCUGCUAAUGAACCUCCACCCUAUCCCCUGGCUCGAAUAGGUCCUCACCCUCAGCCUUCUGCCCUAGACUCUCCGCCGUCACUCCCACCUCAGUAACCUGCUUUCUCCCCCCAAUUACUAGAUCAAAAACCCAAACCACCACCCUUUCUCAAACCGUUGUCCCCUUGCUGAGAUAGCAGUUACUGAAGGAAUCCACCCACUCCUUUCUUCUCCUGUUAGCACCCACACCGGGUCCCACCAGGUCCUCUUACCAGCUAACCGAAAGCUCAAACGAGCCGAGGAGAGCCCUCAGACCCCUAUCCAAGAUCUGGUGAAAAUGGCCUUUAAAGUUGCUUUGUCAUCACUGAAAACAGGUUACUACGAAUUAAAGUCCCUUAUAGGCUUUUUGGGAUAUUCAUUCCCGUCUUCCCCUCUGCUCUACCUGUUCUACUGCUCAAGUUUUCCUUGCUAGGGAAAAUCCCAAACCCCUUUCCCACUAUUCUUUUACAUCUCCUUCUUCAUUCUCAGAUCCACUGGAGCUGCUCUCAGCCCCGCCUUCCCAUCUUCCCCCUCCCUACCCAGGCCCACAGAAAAGUCUUAACUAACCUUCUCCAGAAUAUUCACCAUGGCUGAUUUUAGGACUUUCAGCAAAAGAAUCUCUACAAAAGAGUUCAGUGUAGAUAAACUUCUUCUUUUUGUGUUGCCCUGUUCUACUUGGCCAUUGGCUAAAAAAAAUCAGCACUCCAGGUGCUGGACACCCCCUUACUAGUUUUUCACAAAAUAUGUAAACAAAGCCUCUGGCCUUGAGCUGGGCUUCACAGUGCUGACUACAUUUCUAAGAUAAGGGAGACUAACUGGGCUCCAUGGUAACAGCUGGCAGGGGGAGGAAAGGGAAGAAGAAGCCCUCCCCCUCCCAGGUGUCCUUGAAGGGUUAACUUGCCCAGAACAGAGAGGAAAAAAAACUGCUUUUUGUGAACUUCUGCAGACUGUGAACUUCUGAGCCCCUCCCCUUACAUGCUAGGUGCAAAAUUCUGAAACUAUCUAAAUUUGGGGUUCAGGGGAUUAAUUGAUUAUGGCAGAAGCUGUGCGCUCCAAAUCUAGCUGCAACUAAAUAAGACUGUUUCCCUAUCUUUGGUGCUAUCUUAGGUGCCCGUCCCUACAACAGUAUAAUUCUAUGUAUUUAAACAUUGCUCAUGUUUUCAUGAAAUAGUAAACAGAUGUGAUUAAUUGUGCAAAUAACAAAAUAUCUCUUAUUGAAAUGGAAUAAUUUGCCUAAAUUCAGAAAUUUACAAGGAUUGGUUCAAAGUGUGAAUAAAGAAGGAAUUAACAGAUGGGAAAGAGAAAUUAGAAGGUUCUAGGUAUGGAUUUAAUAGAAGGAAAAUGUGUUUCUG
rnacentral:lncRNA from 1 species